GGACUGUUGGUCUAGCGGUAUGGUAUUCGCUUAGGGUGCGAGUAGUCCCGGGUUCAAAUUCCGACCAGUCUG
rnacentral:tRNA from 1 species